rnacentral:rRNA from 1 species
CAAAUUUUAAAUCUACCUGGAUUUCCAGGUCGAGUUGUAAUUUGAAGAAGUGUUUUUUACUUUCCGGGUUGGGUUAAAUCCUUUGGGAUAAGGUAUCAUGGAGGGUGAGAAUCCCGUGUAUACCAACCGCAGGAUYGUUUAAUAUACACUUUCUAAGAGUCGAGUUGUUUGGGAAUGCASCUCUAAAUGGGUGGUAAAUUUCACCUAAUGCUAAAUAUAASCGAGAGACCGAUAGCGAACAAGUACCGUGAGGGAAAGAUGAAAARAACUUUGAAAAGAGAGUUAAAUAGUACGUGAAAUUGUUGAAAGGGAAACGGUUGAAGUCAGUCAUGCCGGCGGGAAUCAACUUAGGGGAAACUCUGAGUGCACUUCUUCGCUUGGCAGGUUAGCGUCGAUUUUGGAUGUCAUAAAAUGACUGGGGGAAGGUAGCUCUUUCGGGAGUGUUAAGCCCUURGUAGAUGUGAUGUCCGGGAUCGAGGAUUGCAACGGAUACCUUUUGGGCUAACCGCCUAGUCUCUAAUACGAAGUUGGGUUAUGGACAGCACGCUGACUGUGAUCUGAUUUUCGGUUAAAA